GUGACCUUAAAAGGCCACAAAGAGAAAGUACCAAGGUUUCAAAAGAGUGGCACAGUUAUCAGCCGGCCAUGUUUUCUACGUGGCUGUAGUUUUGUAGGGGUUUAUAUUAGGGAAAAGAAGGAGUAGUCUUCAGGCAUUAUUCCUGAAGGUGGAGGGAAGAACAUCUCAGACAAAACUGGACUAGGCAGUGAGAGCAUCCAGACUAUCUCUGCCAAAUGCAAAGGAAGACCCCAACUCUGAGAUCCAUGCAGCAGGCUGCAACGCUCUGGCUGCGACGCCUUGCCCACCAAGCCAGAUGGAGGGCUAAUCACAGGAACAGCAUGCAGCUUGAACCCCUGAGUUAGCCCUGCCUGUCUGGACACAAAGCAGGACACUAAGCUCUGUCUUUCACUGUACUGGACUGUCACACUGCUGUUUGCUUGCUCCAUCUGUCUUCCUCACUCUCUGAUCCUUUUUAGAAGUUUGCCACACUGCACACCCUGUUUCCUGUCACUUUAUUGUCCUCAAACAUUAGAGAGAUCCACUGAGAAACUCUAGAAUAACUCAGUGGACAGAGAACAAGAGGAACAAUUUAUGAAUCUCUUUCAUUCAAAAAGAUACAGACCCAGUUUGUUUUGUUGUCAGCUCCUGAGUAUUCCCCAGAGAGGCGCAGUUGCAGGAGAUAAGAGGGACUAUUCGAGGUCGAUGGUAUUGAGCCUGGAUUCCUGUCCCUAACGAGAUUAGCUGCAAGAGAGAGACAGAGAUGUUAGGUAGUGGCCCUUCCCCCAAUGCCUCUGCUGCAUGAGUGAGUGUCAGCAGGUGUGCCUGAUCACCACUCAGUGCCUGGAGAAUAAGAAGGCUUGGGUCUUUUCACACUGGCGACCUGUCCAGGAUGUAUCCCGCCUUUCGCUCGAUGCCAGCUGGGAUUGGCUCCAGCCCCCCGCGACCCUGUACGCAGGAUAAGCGGUUGGCGAUGGAUGGAUGGGUCUUUUCACAGCACUCGGUCUGUUUCCCUUGCUACCUGUUGUGACCACACUGCAGACCAACACCCGUGAGCAGACCACUGCCAACCAGUCAGCCCAGCGGACAGGGGAAGCCCAUUCAACCAGUGGGUUGAACACCGACUUAGAUCUUCCGUGAGUCCAGAACAGUGUCUGGUUUUAACCUCCUCGGUGGAGAGAGGACUUUUCAGCUGUUCAUUUAGUGUUGAACUUUGCUCCCUCAGUUACUUAACCUGUGUGUAUUGUUGUCUUACUUUGUUGGCUCGCUGUCUCCUUUUGAGAGAUUAGUUUUGUGUUGGUUUUCCUUUGUCAAUAUUGUAAUAAAUACACUUCUUAGUUUGCACAUAA